rnacentral:rRNA from 1 species
GGGCCCGCACAAGCGGUGGAGUAUGUGGUUUAAUUCGAUGCAACGCGAAGAACCUUACCAGGGUUUGACAUCCUGCGAAUCUCUUGGAAACAGGAGAGUGCCUUCGGGAACGCAGUGACAGGUGGUGCAUGGCUGUCGUCAGCUCGUGUCGUGAGAUGUUCGGUUAAGUCCGGCAACGAGCGCAACCCACAUCUUUAGUUGCCAGCAGUUCGGCUGGGCACUCUAAAGAAACUGCCCGUGAUAAGCGGGAGGAAGGUGUGGAUGACGUCAAGUCCUCAUGGCCCUUACGACCAGGGCUACACACGUGCUACAAUGGUAGGUACAGAGGGCAGCUACACAGCGAUGUGAUGCGAAUCUCAAAAAGCCUAUCGUAGUCCAGAUUGGAGUCUGCAACUCGACUCCAUGAAGUAGGAAUCGCUAGUAAUCG